rnacentral:rRNA from 1 species
AUCUUUGAACGCACCUUGCGCUCCUUGGUAUUCCGAGGAGCAUGCCUGUUUGAGUGUCAUUAAAUUCUCAAAAGUCUUUCUUUAGACUUUUUGGACUUGGAGUGUUUGCUGGCUUUAUCAAAGUCAGCUCCUCUUAAAUGUAUUAGCUUGUGC